rnacentral:rRNA from 2 species
UACGUAGGGUGCAAGCGUUGUCCGGAAUUAUUGGGCGUAAAGAGCUCGUAGGCGGUUUGUCGCGUCUGCUGUGAAAACGCGAGGCUCAACCUCGCGCCUGCAGUGGGUACGGGCAGACUAGAGUGUGGUAGGGGAGAUUGGAAUUCCUGGUGUAGCGGUGGAAUGCGCAGAUAUCAGGAGGAACACCGAUGGCGAAGGCAGAUCUCUGGGCCAUUACUGACGCUGAGGAGCGAAAGCGUGGGGAGCGAACAGG